GACGAACGCUGGCGGCGUGCCUAAUACAUGCAAGUCGAGCGGAUGAUGAAGAAGCUUGCUUCUUCUGAUUUAGCGGCGGACGGGUGAGUAACACGUGGGCAACCUGCCCUGUAGAUUGGGAUAACUCCGGGAAACCGGGGCUAAUACCGAAUAAUCCAUUACCUCACAUGAGGAAAUGUUAAAAGACGGCAUCUCGCUGUCACUACAGGAUGGGCCCGCGGCGCAUUAGCUAGUUGGUGAGGUAACGGCUCACCAAGGCGACGAUGCGUAGCCGACCUGAGAGGGUGAUCGGCCACACUGGGACUGAGACACGGCCCAGACACCUACGGGAGGCUG
rnacentral:rRNA from 1 species